UAUGUCCGAUGCACACUGCAUCA
rnacentral:siRNA from 1 species